rnacentral:rRNA from 1 species
CCUACGGGAGGCAGCAGUGAGGAAUAUUGGUCAAUGGACGCAAGUCUGAACCAGCCAUGCCGCGUGCAGGAAGACGGCUCUAUGAGUUGUAAACUGCUUUUGUACGAGGGUAAACGCAGAUACGCGUAUCUGUCUGAAAGUAUCGUACGAAUAAGGAUCGGCUAACUCCGUGCCAGCAGCCGCGGUAAUACGGAGGAUUCAAGCGUUAUCCGGAUUUAUUGGGUUUAAAGGGUGCGUAGGCGGUCGGAUAAGUUAGAGGUGAAAUCCCGAGGCUCAACUUCGGAAUUGCCUCUGAUACUGUUCGGCUAGAGAGUAGGUGCGGUAGGCGGAAUGUAUGGUGUAGCGGGGAAAUGCUUAGAGAUCAUACAGAACACCGAUUGCGAAGGCAGCUUACCAAGCUACUUCUGACGUUGAGGCACGAAAGCGUGGGGAGCAAACAGGAUUAGAUACCCGGGUAGUC